UACGAAGGGGGCUAGCGUUGUUCGGAUUUACUGGGCGUAAAGCGCACGUAGGCGGAUUGUUAAGUCAGGGGUGAAAUCCCGGAGCUCAACUCCGGAACUGCCUUUGAUACUGGCAAUCUUGAGACUGGAAGAGGUUAGUGGAAUUCCCAGUGUAGAGGUGAAAUUCGUAGAUAUUGGGAAGAACACCAGUGGCGAAGGCGGCUAACUGGUCCAGUACUGACACUGAGGUGCGAAAGCGUGGGGAGCAAACAGG
rnacentral:rRNA from 1 species